GUUCCUGCCUCCUACUACUGUUGGUGUACUUGCCAAGUACCAUAAAGAUCACAAAGAAAACAUAAUUUCUAGGCCAGAACUAGUACAGCGAGUGAGACAAUUAGUCGGGGACAAGUUGUUGGCUUCUGUUAUCAAAUCGUUUAGAACCAAGAAAGCUAAAGGAUCAAGCAGUUCUAAGCAAGCAAUAGGAGGUGGGAAUCAUGUGAAUUGAGAUGAGAUCAGAGACAUCGUGGAUGGCUAGAUUAUGGCAAUUUGCAAUCCUGAAGAGGAAGGAGAAGGCUAAUAAAACUGACAUGAACUAAAAGAUAAUCCAAAAGGAAACAGCAGUUAAGGAUCCAGCAGCUGCCAUGGGCUAUUUUUGGGGGUCUAAUAUUAGUGCAGAGAGUAGUAUGUGUAGAAUACAGAUCUUUUUUUAGAUCACUAUAUUGUUGUGGAAUUUGAAAUGUAUUGUCAGCAAUAUGUGAAAAAAUAAAGAGUAAACUUCUUUGGUG
rnacentral:misc_RNA from 1 species